CCGGUUUGUAAUUGAAAAACGAGAAAUUUUGAAACAAUUACGUUUUUGUCUACAUUUACUGCUGUUCGAGGAUGCUUCUGUCGAGUUUUGACAGGACAGUAUCCAUGCUCCCUGUCCGACACCCUCCCAUGUUGCAGUUAACAUUUCCCUGCCAGCCUUCUUCCCCCAUCAUGCCCAACCGACUGGUCCAAUAUUGUUCAAAACUAUAUGGAAAUGCCUCGUCAUCGUAGUUUGGAGUAUGUGCAGAGCACUCAGGAUAACAAGCAGUUUAUUUGCUUGAUGAGACUGAUUUGCCGGGGAAGGGAGCAGACACUGCUGUGAGCAUGAUGAUCACUACUUCAAGUACCAUGGUUUGGAGAAGAAAAGCCGAAAUUGGCACUUUGGUCUUUGG